UACGGAGGGUGCGAGCGUUGUCCGGAAUCACUGGGCGUAAAGGGCGCGUAGGUGGCUCAGCAAGUGUGUGGUGAAAGCCCGGAGCCUAACUCCGGGUCGGCCAUGCAAACUGCUGUGGCUAGAGGACUGUAGAGGCAGGUAGAAUUCCGGGUGUAGCGGUGGAAUGCGUAGAGAUCCGGAAGAAUACCGGUGGCGAAGGCGGCCUGCUGGGCAGUUUCUGACACUGAGGCGCGACAGCGUGGGGAGCAAACAGG
rnacentral:rRNA from 1 species